rnacentral:rRNA from 1 species
UUCGCCUUCAUGAAGCCGGAAUUGCUAGUAAUGGCAGGUCAGCAUACUGCCGUGAAUACGUUCCCGGGCCUUGUACACACCGCCCGUCACACCAUGAGAGUUGGGAAUACCCGAAGCCUGUGAGCUAACUUUUAGAGGCAGCAGUCGAAGGUAGAAUCAAUGAUUGGGGGUGAAGUCGUAACAAGGUAAC